rnacentral:lncRNA from 11 species
AAUUAAAAGGAGCGUCGGAGUGCAUUAAUGUCCUCUCCCUUCCCAAUGAAGUCUCUCUCUCUCACCUACAAGGAUCAGAAGCGGCUCCGAAAGCACUGCCGCAGCCUCUUCUCUUGCAAGUCCACAGCAGGCAGAGGCGAGGGGGCGGGGCCUCUCAAGCCCUGCCCACUGCCCCGGAGACCCGGAAGUUGCUUGAAGAAAGCGGGGCAAAGUGAGUUGCCCCCUGGAAGGUGCCUUAGAGAUCUGCUUUUGCAGGGAAGAGGGAGGGCUGGUUGCUAUGGAAGGCUCCUCACAGCUUCAAUAUCCUCAAGGCUCCAGGUGUGCUGGCCUGAAAGGCGAUACUGGUUGGGGAUGAUGGUGAUGACGGUCGCCCCCGCUUUCAAAUUGAUUAAAAAAAACGCAGCAGAGAGUUCCAUAGAUUACUCUCCAAAAGAACGGAGUGGGACCGCAACAGACUAUUAUUAAAAGACCUUUUUUCCUUCAUUUUCCUCUUCCCUGAACUAUGUAACAAAUCCCCCCAAUAAAAGUAGCAUUUAUUUUAACAAUAACACUCUCUAUCUGGUUAUUUUGUAUCUUUCCCUGACUCCUUCCUUCGCAUGCAAUCACUCUCUCUCCCUCCCGUCCUUUUAACUCCGGCUGAGAUUCCCUGCCAUAGAUUAACAUGGCGGUCGAUAUAAAUUGGCUCAUAUCUCUAUCAAAAUUACCCCUAGAACGCUCCUCUUUUA